rnacentral:rRNA from 1 species
GAUUUCUGGUUUGAUAUGCCUGGCCCGCCACGGUUACGUGUGUGAGUGCCGGUGCGUGUCUGCCAUCCUUCUAGAAAACGAUUCUGCCAUUCACUUGGUUGGGAUCGCGAUCUAGAUCUUUUACUUUGAAAAAAUUAGAGUGUUUAAAGCAGGCUUUUGCUAUGAAUACAUUAGCAUGGAAUAAUAAUCUAGGACUUCGGUUCUAUUUUGUUGGUUUCUAUAACUGAAGUAAUGAUUGAUAGGGAUAGUUGGGGGUGCUAGUAUUGGCCGGCCAGAGGUGAAAUUCUUGGAUUCGGUCAAGACUAACUUAUGCGAAAGCAUU